ACAACCCUGAUCCAGCCAUGCCGCGUGUGUGAAGAAGGCUUUCGGGUUGUAAAG
rnacentral:rRNA from 1 species